UGUACGUUUGGCACUCUUAAAAAUCUAAAACCCCCGUCUCUCUCUCUCUCUCUCUCACUUUCUACGCCGCCCUACCCUCGCCCACAUCGCCGCUAGCCAGAUCCGUCGCCACCCAGCUAGCUCCGGCGUCCAGUACGCUGUCACCAACAUCUAUUUCAGCAGAAUGUGAAAUAGCAAAGCAUCAAGUUGAAUUAUUCAGCCAAUGAAAAAGUCAGGAAUAGGAGGAGGGGUGGCUUGCUGAAUCUCAAAUUCAAAAGCUCAGAUAAAUUUGAAAUAGAAUGUAACUGCGAGAUAUGUUCCUUUGUUGGAUUUGACGGUUGAAGAAGCUGAGUUAUUGGCUCAAACACCGAUCAUUUCACCUGGUGGUUGUGUCUCAAAAGGUUUCUGGUGGUAUUAUCAAGGGUGUUACCACCGGUCUGCUUAAUGAAUUGGCCGUUGAGACUUCUGCUUGCACAGCUGAAGGAACCAGAAGCUUGCUUCUCGACUUUCAGGUUGAGCAGAAGGAUGUAGAUUGUGCCAAUAUCACCCUUCAGUUCUGGAGUUUGAAGGCAGAAGUGGGACGCUAUGAAAUCACAAUCGGGGGGCGAGAUGAUGUUUGCUUUGCAAUAUGUGGAUGUUUUGGUUACAAAUUGGGACGCUCAUGGUCACACUUAAUGCUCACCAAGGAGCUCAAAUUUCAUUAAUGGGAUAAGUUGGAGUGUUCUUUUGAAAAAUUGCACAGAUGCCUGAGGGAUAUAAGGUAUAAGGUUAUGAAUUUUACCGUAGAGGAUAAUUUUCGUAUCUUAAAGUUAAUACUUGCAAAUAGUAUACCAAUGCCUUGAUUUUAUAUAUCUUCUUUUGGUAAAUAAGAGAGCCAUCAAUAUUGGUGAAUCAAGAGAGUAUUAGUAGGGAAAGAAAAAGCAGUAUUGGUAGUGAAAUAAUUGAUACUUCCCUUUAUAAAUGAGUUUCUUUAGAAAAUCAGAGCUUUUUUUCUUGGAUAUCCUGCAACCAUGAUGAAGGUAAAGUGAAGAUCAAACUUUCCAUUUGGUUUGUUUUCCAGCUAUUGAAAAGGGACCUCAUGUUUUUUGGUCUAUAAAGCUUCACAGGGAUUCUUAAUGAGGCUUCAUAGGAAGUUUGUUGCAGCAGUUAAUCAGUUAUGCAUUGGAAGUGAUUUUCUUUAGCAUCACUGUGGAGGAUUUUGACCUGAUGAAUGUUGAUGGACUUACAAGAGGGAAUGUGGCAAGCCAUCUCCAGGUAUCUUUAUAUAGUUUCAUAUGUUGCCUUUAAUCUGCUUUCUAUUUUUACAGAUGGGAUAUAUGUAUGCAAUCCAUGUACAGUGUUUAUGAAUUUUGAAUUUAUUUGGCUCUUGAACUAAGCAUGGAAAGAAUUAUAUAUCCUUUCUUUUAUUACCAUGCUCUGAAUAUUCAACUUUUAGUCUUCAUCAUAAAAUCUGCCUUUUGUCGAUAUCUUUUCUUUGAGGAACACUUCUAAGAUGGUGUGAAGUAGUAGCCGUCUGUCCUGCUUAAACGACAGGUUUGUACUGCGUAACUUUCUUUUGAAGCUUUUCAUUCUCAGGAACAAAAAACUCUCUUUUGAAGCUUUUUAUGUAGUGCCACUAAAUGUUUCUUCAAGUUACACAAGUUUAAUUGAGGCUGCGAAUUCGGAAGUUAAAGAAGGUAAGCAUGAAUCUAAUAAACCAAGAGCGCAAAAUCUUGUGAGAUUAAGGCAAAAAUUUCCUAAGUUUACUGCCUAGAAAAUAGAACCUUCUGGUGGUGAGUAUGUGAUAGGGUGGUAAUUAUAUUCUAGUUUUUUCAGCUUCAUCCAUUGUCAUCCUCUUAACUGAUUAUUGCAUUUUCGUUUGAUAUCUUUAUUUUUAAUUGUUCCUACCACGGUCGGCUUCUAGCUGCAAAGCAGUGUUAACAGAUUAGCUUGCCCCUUGAAGCCUUUCCUGAACAUAUCCAUGUAAUGUGCACACAAAUCUCAUAUUCAUAUACAUAUGAACAUAAUAGAGUAUAGUGAAAGCUAUAUCUGAUUAAUAAAAAUUCAUCAAUGUUUAAAAAAAGGGAGGCCAGAUUUAAGUUUAAGCUUUUGCUGGAUUCAACAUUUAUAUCCUUGCUCCCUUUCUUGGAAAUAAUUAGUGAAAGCACUAAAAUGAUUUCAAAGAUUCUUAAUCAUUUAUUGUAACUAAAUCUGUUGUCUUAUCUUUUGCUAUGAGCAAUUGUAUAUUUAUGUUAUGGUAUGAGUAGUGGUUGUUUGUGACAUUUUGCAAGAGAAAGAAUAAGAGGCAAGGAACUCUUACUAGCCAAUACAUUUAUUACAUCUUAAUGGGUAAAUCUCCCAAUCCCUAAUCGAGUGAUUUGUUUGUAAGCUAAAACCUAUUAACUGACAAAAUGUUUCAUAUAGAGAAGUUCUUACAUUACUUCUAUAUGAGAUAUAUAAAAGGUAGUUUGAGUGCACUUUUAAGUUAGUGGGUAUCGUUGUGAGAGCGCUUAUAAAAAAGAAGUGAUCGUUAAUUUGGGAUGGAAAGUGCAAAGGUCUUUGCCAAAGAAGAAAAUCUACAGAGAAGGUUCAAAAUAUGGAAUAUUUUAGUCUAGAUCAUAGGUGUCAAUAUUUUUAGCUGCUAGCUUAAUAUAAAAUACAAUUCUGAGAGUAUUUGUGUGCCCUUUUCGUGUACUUUCUGACUGACUAGAAACUUAAAAACGUUGUUGAGAAUUAGCUGCUUAAAAUAUUAUACUUCAAAACUUCAAAUUUCCGUAAGCAACUGGGCAUUCCAGAGUGCUCUUCUCCUCUGCAUAUUUCAUCUUGCAUAUUAAUAUUUACAUAUAUGAUUUGAGCUUGCUUUUCCUUUGAAGGUGAUACUGAUUCUGGUAUAAAAAGAUAAAAGACUCUUGAGCUGGGCAUUGUAGCAGAUGUUCAAGAGGGGAAGAUGGGCCAGUGGUCUCGUGCAAAUAUUGCACUAUCCUAUUAUUAGGCAAUGUAUUGAAGAACCUAUUGUUUAUGAUCGUCUGUUUUCGUAUCUAUAGAUAAGAGUACUAUUCCAUUAGCACUGGAAUAUUUGAAACAAAAACUAGCACAAUGCCUAAUAUGUCUGCAUGGGCAGCCUUCAUCUAGUUUGUAAAAAUGUGAAAGUGUUUGGUGGAUGUUUGUGAAUGUUGAAGUAAUUUGAUGUUGUAGACUUAACUUAAUGUAGACUAGGAUAAUGUUUUGUGGAUGUUUGCAAAGGUUGAAGUAAUGUUUUUUGUGAAUGUUGAAUUACAUUUUGAUUCAA